ensembl:misc_RNA Metazoa_SRP Metazoan signal recognition particle RNA
GCCGGGCAUGGUGGCUCAUGCCUGUAAUCCCAGCACUUUGGGAGCCCGAGGCAGGAGGAUCACUUGAGGUCAGGAGCUCAAGACCAGCCUAGCCAACAGGGCGCAACCCUGCCUCUACUAAAGGUACAAAAAUUAGCUGGGCUUGGUGGCGCACGCCUGUAAUCCCAGCUACUCAGGAGGCUGAGGCAUGAGAAUUGCUUAAACCUGGGAGGCAGAGGUUGCAGUGAGCUGAGAUGGCACCUCUGUACUCCAGCCUGGGCAACAGAGUGAGACUCUGUCUCA